CUCAUGGUUUCGCCUCCGCCGGCUCCGGGUAGUGCUCCUCUGGCUUCGGUGGCAGCUCGUGCUUUGGCUCCUCCGGCACCUCUGGGUGCGGCAGCUCCGGCACGGUGGGGUGAGGAGGCAGCUCGGGCUUUGGCAGCUCCGGCACGGUGGGGUGAGGAGGCAGCUCGGGCUUUGGCAGCUCCGGCACGGUCGGGUGCUCUGGCACGGUGGGGUGAGGAGGGAGCUCGGGCUUUGGCUGCUCUGGCGCGACCGGGUGCGGCUCCUCAUGUUUUGGCAGCUCAGGCUCAGUAGGGUGAGGUGGCAGUUCAGGCUUCGGAAUCUCCGGCACAGGGUGCGGCACCUCGGGCUCGGUAGGGUGAGGAGGCAGUUCGGGCUUGGGCAGCUCUGGCACGGGGUGCGGCUCCUCAGGUUUGGGCAGCUCUGGCUCGGUUGGGUGAGGAGGCAGUUCAGGUUUGGGCAGCUCUGGCACGGGGUGCGGCGCCUCAGGCUUGGGCAUCUCCGGGACGGCGGGGUGGGGUGGCACCUCGGGCUUUGGCAGCUCAGGCACGGUAGGGUGCGGCGGCAGCUGGGGCUUGGGCAACUCCGGCACAGCAGGGUGCGGGUACUCCUCCUUGGGCGGCGCCUCCUCCAGCAACCGCGCC
rnacentral:lncRNA from 1 species